rnacentral:other from 1 species
AAACCCCUGCGGUGCGCGUGAGGAUAGAGAUCCUCCCGAGCCGUUAAUCAUGAGAACCCAGGAACCCUGCUCUGGUCGUGGAGUGCGAGCCCUCUGGGCUUACCAGAAGCGACUAUCGGGGGUCCACCUGUGAAAUGGGUUCGAGAGGCGCUAGACCCACGGCAUUCGCGGGGGUUUU